rnacentral:rRNA from 1 species
CAGUCGCCGCGGUAAUACGUAGGUCCCGAGCGUUAUCCGGAUUUAUUGGGCGUAAAGCGAGCGCAGGCGGUUAGAUAAGUCUGAAGUUAAAGGCUGUGGCUUAACCAUAGUACGCUUUGGAAACUGUUUAACUUGAGUGCAGAAGGGGAGAGUGGAAUUCCACGUGUAGCGGUGAAAUGCGUAGAGAUGUGGAGGAACACCAGUGGCGAAGGCGACUCUCUGGUCUGUAACUGACGCUGAGGAGCGAAAGCGUGGGGAGCGAACAGGAUUAGAUACCCGCGUAGUCCCUGUCUCUUAUACA